rnacentral:rRNA from 1 species
ACAGGUGCCUAUAACGAAGGGGAUCCACCUCUAUCCAUUCCGAACAGAGAAGUUAAGCCCUUGCGUGCCGAUGGUACUGCAGCGAUGUGGGAGAGUAGGUCGGUGCCGGAU